rnacentral:misc_RNA from 1 species
GAUGAAGAACGUAGUGAAAUGCGAUAAGUAGUGUGAAUUGCAGAAUUCAGUGAAUCAUCGAAUCUUUGAACGCACCUUGCGCCCUUUGGCCAUUCCGAAGGGCAUGCCUGUUUGAGUAUCAUGAACACCUCAACUCUUUAUGGUUUUCCAUGAUGAGCUUGGACUCUGGGGGUUUUGCUGGCUCACAGUCGGCUCCUCUAAAAUGAAUCAGCUUACCAGUGUUUGGUGGGUAUCAUGGGUGUGAUAACUAUCUACGCUUGUGGUUUUUCCACCAGGUAACCUUCAGCAGUGGAGGUUCGCUGGAGCUCAUAGAUGUCUCUCCUCAGUGAGGACAGCCCUUUGAAUGUUUGAUCUCAAAUCAGGUAGGACUACCCGCUGAACUUAAGCAUAUCAAUAAGCGGAGGA